GAUGAACGCUGGCGGCGUGCCUAAUACAUGCAAGUCGAGCGAACGGACGAUAAGCUUGCUCCCCUGAGGUUAGCGGCGGACGGGUGAGUAACACGUGGAUAACCUACCUAUAAGACUGGGAUAACUUCGGGAAACCGGAGCUAAUAACGGAUAAUAUUUUGAACCGCAUGGUUCAAAAGUGCAUGACGGUCUUGCUGUCACUUAUAGAUGGAUCCGCGCUGCAUUAGCUAGUUGGUAAGGUAACGGCUUACCAAGGCAACGAUGCAUAGCCGACCUGAGAGGGUGAUCGGCCACACUGGAACUGAGACACGGUCCAGACUCCUACGGGAGGCAGCAGUAGGGAAUCUUCCGCAAUGGGCGAAAGCCUGACGGAGCAACGCCGCGUGAGUGAUGAAGGUCUUCGGGUCGUAAAGCUCUGUUAUUAGGGAAGAACAUAUGUGUAAUUAACUGUGCACAUCUUGACGGUACCUAAUCAGAAAGCCACGGCUAACUACGUG
rnacentral:rRNA from 1 species